rnacentral:rRNA from 1 species
CGGCGGACGGGUGAGUAGCGCGUGGGUAACCUGCCCUGUACACACGGAUAACAUACCGAAAGGUAUGCUAAUACGGGAUAACAUAAGAAAUUCGCAUGUUUUUCUUAUCAAAGCUCCGGCGGUACAGGAUGGACCCGCGUCUGAUUAGCUAGUUGGUGAGGUAAUGGCUCACCAAGGCGACGAUCAGUAUCCGACCUGAGAGGGUGAUCGGCCACAUUGGAACUGAGACACGGUCCAAACUCCUACGGGAGGCAGCAGUGGGGAAUAUUGCACAAUGGGCGAAAGCCUGAUGCAGCAACGCCGCGUGAGCGAUGAAGGCCUUCGGGUCGUAAAGCUCUGUCCUCAAGGAAGAUAAUGACGGUACUUGAGGAGGAAGCCCCGGCUAACUACGUGCCAGCAGCCGCGGUAAUACGUAGGGGGCUAGCGUUAUCCGGAUUUACUGGGCGUAAAGGGUGCGUAGGCGGUCUUUUAAGUCAGGAGUGAAAGGCUACGGCUCAACCGUAGUAAGCUCUUGAAACUGGAGGACUUGAGUGCAGGAGAGGAGAGUGGAAUUCCUAGUGUAGCGGUGAAAUGCGUAGAUAUUAGGAGGAACACCAGUAGCGAAGGCGGCUCUCUGGACUGUAACUGACGCUGAGGCACGAAAGCGUGGGGAGCAAACAGGAUUAGAUACCCUGGUAGUCCACGCCGUAAACGAUGAGUACUAGCUGUCGGAGGUUACCCCCU